rnacentral:misc_RNA from 1 species
UUUUUUUUUGGGGCUAACGAUAGGUAAAUUGUUAUCCUUUAUGGAGUUUUCCUUGGAAAAUUCUUGAGCAGCGAGGGUGGAAGGAGAAUGUUCAGAGUUGGAAUUGUCAGAGGAAGGAUUGCGCUUGGUAUGGGAAGCCGUGGAUUGUUCCUCGGGCUGAGUGUAGCCCUGAUAAAGUUUCCCUUUGAAAGAUCCGCGGCA